UCCAUGGUGCUGCUCAGCAAAUGGAACUGGGACUGGCAGGAAGGGGAGGAGGGAAGGGGGAGACACACAGUCAGGCUGGAGAGUGGAAGCCAUCCCGUCCGGGAGGUGUCCUGUUACAGGAGCCUUAAAGGGCCAGCAGCUCAGUCAUCCCAAAUAUUUCCUCGGGGGGGGGGGGGGGGCCCACCUGACAGGUCACUACUUGUGUUGGGAUAAACUGACAUAUUCACCUCGCCCUCCCCUCUCCAUCAGCCUCCCAGUGCCUGGGCUCCUGGGGCUCCGCCGAGCACACCUGGAGGGGACCGGCCUGCGGGGGGGCGGCUCCCAGCCCCGACUGACACCCUGGGUGCCCGGCUGCACUCCCCAGGGGCAGCACCCGGCCCAGAGAGCCACGCCUCCUACUGUCACCGUUACAGCUCAAGCUGGGGAGACCCCACCCCCGGAAGCAGGGCAGAGGGCGGCCCCCGCGCGCAGGGUGGGCACACCCCAGGCUCCGGUGCAGGGGCUGUCUGCCCAAGAGGCUUUGGGAGGCCAGAUGUGGCCCCUCGGUCCAGCCCCGUAGGUGGUGGGGCAGAGCUGGGGGCUGAAGGACGGUGGCUGAGGCCACCUGCGAAGGGCCUCUGUGACGACAGGCUACCUUCAUCCCCCCGCACCUGAACGACCCCCAGUUCCCCCUGCUAGCAGCCCUGCCUGGUCCACACCCUCUGCCCACCCCAGGGCACUGGCAGCCUAGCCCCCUCCGGGGCCACACACAGAAGGAACAGGAGCUCCUAGCCUCGUGGUGUGGGCGUGUCCCCUGGUCACCCCCUGUGGGGUCGGACCAGCAGCCCUUGUCAGGAGCUUAAGGGAGGCCCUGGCGAGGAAGGGAGGGGGCGGGCGCCGGCCCACGCUUCGGCGUCUUGAAUCCAGGGCAGAGCAGGUCUCCCCUGGAGGGCUGGCAGGGAAGACCCACCUUGGCAAUCAGGAGGCUUCCAACAGGAGGGCGACACAGUAGCUGACACGGGCCAGACCUGCUCUAACCGCAAAUGUUUAAACAGCUCCUCUCUGUGCCAGCCAGGCUCGGAGGGAGGGCGGGCGCUACUGCCCCCGAUGUGCAGAUGCGGACACUGAGGCUUGGUGUGGGGAUGGCAACGCCGGGGGUCCGUGAACUGGGGGGACUUGCAUCUGGCGGGCAGAGGGCCUGGAGUCCCCCUAGAGGGGUGGAGGGGAGAGGCAGACCGGACAGCGGGCGAGGGGCCCCUUUGCUCUGCACCCACUUCUGCGAGGCAAGCACUCUGCCCCCUCAAGUUCCUUGGAUGGUGGGGAGAACCCCGGCCGUGGGGUGACCCCAGUGCUCAGCUCCCUCUUGCACGUCAGGAGGGUUGGGUUCCAUAACCCAGAGGCCCCUGCAGCUCGGCACCCCGGAGGCACACCCGUGUCCACAUCACAGAGCCCCCCGGGCCCCCUCCCGACCUGGGGAGGGAAACCCUCUCCUGAGGUCUGCCCAGCCUGGAGGAAGCUCAGCACAGGUGACGACCGAGGGGGAGGGAGGUGACGGGUGAUGGACGACAGGCGGCUGAGUCUUACCAAAGCCGCUUCCCGCCCCCCCAGCCCCGUUCCUCCUGCCCCCACCAUGCUUCCCUCAGAUGCUCCAGCCCUGACGGCCCGCUGCCACCCAGUGCGGACCAGCCGUCAGGCCCGACCCUAUGCCCUCCCCGCUGGGGACAGCCAGACUGGGCAACGCCGUCAGGGGCUUGGCACAAGGCCCUGGCCGAAACUGCCACCUGACAGAUCCCUUGGGUGGCUCUCAGGCUUUUCUAUUUGAACCUCCAGGGCCAUUCCCCCCACCCUGUAAACCUAGGGCCCCAACACCAGUGGGAUGGGCGCCCCCUGCCGGGCAGACCCCACUUCCCCGCCCCACUAAGGCCACCUUCCCUGGUCGGCGGUCCCCUCAAAGGCCUUCCUAACUUCCUGAGGCUUCGCCUGGAAGACGAAGGAGGCUCAGUGCCCACUGCCUCGCCUGCCUUGCAGGUGGAGAAACAGAUGCCGAGUCCGUGCCACGGAAUGUUAUUCCUCCAGCAUCAGGAAGAAACAAGCUACUGAUGCUACAGCCCGGAGGAGAUGCAAAAACACGCCACACGAAGGCGCCCACACGAAAACUCACACGCCAUACGGUUCCCUUUACAUGAAAGUCCAGGGAUGGCAAACCCACAGGGACAGACGCAGAUGGGGGCGGCCAGGGCUGGGGUGGGGCUUCGGGGUGACAGCUAAGGUGCAGGGGUCCCUUCUGAGGCCAUGAAAACGCUCUCAAAUGGACUGUGGUGAUGGGUCCAUAUACCUGUGAAUUGUUUUAACUGGAGUAGAGUUGAUUUAAUGCUGUGCUAGCAUCUGCUGUACAGCAAAGCGAUUCAGUUAUACACACACAUGCACGGUCUUUUUCACGUUCUUUUCCAUGAUGGUUUAUCACAGGAUAUUGAAUAUAGUUCCCUGCGCUCUACAGGAGGACUUUGUUUUUUGUCCACCCUGUAAAUAAUAGUUUGCAUCUGCUAAUCCCAAACUCCCAAUCCUUCCCUACCCUGCACUCCCCACCUUGGCAACUCUAAGUCUGUUCUCGAAGUCUGUGAGUCUGUUUUGUGAAUAUAUUUUAAAAAUACUGAAUUGUAUACUUUAAGUCGGUGAAUUGUGUGGUAUGCCAAUUAUAACUCAAUAAAAACAACUGAGGGACCCGGCCAAGCCUCACCUCUCCUGGCCCGGGCCAUUGUGGGCGUGAGGGGAGUGACAGCCAACGCCUCCAGAGGGCCCGGGUGGGGGCCCCACGUGCUUUCACACCCGCUUGCUCCAGGACGGCACUGCUCUGCGUCCCCCCCACUUACGCCUCCCCACUGGACUUCAGACCCGACAAGGACAGACCUUGUCCCACGGGUCAUCAACGUACCCCUGCACAGGCACAGAAAACGUGGCCAGUGUGAACUGAGCUGUGCUGUGGACAUAAGGGCACAGACUCCAAGGACUUAGUGCCAAUGGAAAGAAUAGAAUAAAAUAUCUCAUUCACAAUUUCAUAUUGAUCACUUGCUGAAAUGAGCAUAGUUUGGGAAAAGCAAAAUAAAUUCUUGAAUUAUUUUCACUGUUUCUUUUCACCAUUUUUAAUGUGGCUACAAGAAAAUGCAACGUUACAUGUGUGGCUUGCGUCCCAUUUCUACUGGAUGGCCGGCACUGGACAGGGUCCUCCAUCAGUGGCCAGUGAGGGACUCGCAACUGUGAUGAGCACGACCCCUCUGGAGGGUCUUCCCUUUCGCUCCACCAAGGGCUGCAGGGAGCCUUCCACAUCCCUAGCAAGGACAGCCCAGCCUGGGGUUUCAUGUCUGUUCCCCCGGCUCCAUCCCCAACAGGAGGACGGUCCAGGCCAGCAGAGCAAACUGCCCCUGCCUCCCAGUUCAGGGGAAGGGGGAGGCAACCCCACGACGACAACCGUGUUCAGGGGAAGGGGGAGGCAGCCCCACGACGACAACCGUGUUCAGAUUUUAACUUGUCCACAUUCUUUACAGAUCUGAGGCGAGUGCCAGGGAAUUAGUCAUUGAACCAAAAGGAGCAGGGCUGAUAGGAUCUCCACGCCCAGCAGCCACAAAGCAAGAGGGAGCCUGGAGGCUUCCAGCGGGCCGCCGGCCGCCACAAGGAGUCCUAAUGGGAUGUGGGACCGCUGCAUCCCUCGUCCAGCGAGGGUCUCAUCUCCUCUCCUCUCGCUCCAGCUCUCCAAGCCUCCCUGCAUCCACGACCACCUUCAGCAAGGCUCCAGGACGCUAAGAUCAGACGAGGACCGCGCAGACGGGCUGCGAUGCGCAGUCGGGGGACCCAGCACAGAUUCACACUUAGGCACCACACGUGCUCUCUGGAGUAAAACUGAUUUUUGUGGUGAACGUGGCAACAGAAAAACUUGUCAGUAAAGUUUAAAACGACUCUGGUUAUGUCCCCAAAGGCUUACGGUUUCAGGCUGCCUCACCCAGUGGAGGGGACUCGAAGCCAGGCCAAGCGGGGGCAACUGGGGAAUGCGGAGCUCAAACACUGGCUCAGGAAGCAUCUGUCCGUCCCGGCCGCAAGGACACAAAGAUUCGAAAGACAGGACUCGCUCGCCUUUGGGCAGUGAUAACAGCUCCCAGGAAGCCCCAGUUUCCGGCCUCCUUUCGACACUGCAGGUCCACACACAGGGCCUUUUCUCGUGCUAGUCACCUACUCCCAAUACUGUCUCUCCUACCUGUACCACCUCUCAAGGAUCACCUCCUCCCUGAAGCCACCCAGGCUCUCUCCACCUGUUCUGGUGUUCAAGGACUUCCUCUGCUGCUUCUCUGGGUUCAGUAACAUGAUAUGCACACCCAUGUGGGUUUGCAUCCGUGCCCACCUCUUACCAACGGCUUCUGUGAGGGCCCAGCAGUUAAUACACUGAGAAGCCGAGAAUGGCGCCCGAACACGGAAUGCAUAGACGUGUCUGCUGUCGUUCCUACCGGCUCCCUCUCCCCCUACCUGCCCCCAGGUGGGCAUGGAUGGCCACGGUCCUGGGAGCUACCACAUGCAUGGCUAUCGCAGAAACACUGGUUCUGGCUCCUUCUUUUCUAAGCCAUGGGACGGCCAGCUCACUCAUCUUGCAUUCUUCUGCAUUUCCGGCAGAAAUGGAGGUUUCACGCUUUUAAUGUUCUUUCAAGGUGUGGUCAGAAGACCAUUACUCAGGGCGCCCGCCCAGGGAUCUGAGGGCCCAUCUCGGGGUGGGGGGGCCUCCUGGGAGGUUUGACCUUUUCUGGCAGCUUGGGCCCAUGCCCCCCCCCCCCAGUGCUACUUCAGUUCAGCAGAGAAUGAUCCAGUAGGUCAUAGUGUACCCUUCCCUCCACGCCCAGAAAGGAUCAGGAGGGACUCAGCAAGGGACAGAAACGACAGGACAACUCGAAAGCACAAAGGAGGCUGCCCGGCGGCAAGGGCAGACUGGCAGCCAGCGUGAACAGGGACCCAAGAUGAGACACGUAAUUACAGAAUCCCCACUGUCCAGGGAGCAGGGUCGGGAGAGAGAAACCUCUCCUCAGCACGGAAGCCCCAAGCUCAGAGGUGAGAGGCUCCUGCUAAGCUAAUUUCUCUCCACCAGAGUGUACAACCCAUCCAGACACCUUCCUCCUAUUCCAGCUCCUAUUUCUGCAUUAAGAACCUGCUGAGUGUCCAGGACACCUGCAGCUCACACGGGCAGCUGUCCAGCCGUUCAGUCCAUGGUGCCCAAAGUGUGCGCCACGGCACGACUGCAGACCUUAUCGGAGCCUUGAGGACAGCCAGCGUGUGAGGCGAAUCUUGGAGAGAGAAGUGGCACGGAGCGCUUGCUAACCAGGAGCUCCUGUCCCCACGGGAGCCAAGCUAGCUGGCAGUGGGUGGUGAGGGGAGAGGACCUGCCUCUGGCUCUUUAAAAUGGGCCCCCUUCUGGCAGAGGGCAGGCUGGAGGGGGACAGUCUGACAAAGAGCUGUCUCCUCCCCGUCAGGCAGGGAUGAAGUUUCGCCCUGUGAGACAGCGCCCUGGUCCUGCCUCCAGGGAGUGCUGGGGUCCCCGCCCAUCCCAGGGCACCCAGCCACCAUUGGCCUGUUCCAGCCCUGGCUUUUCCAAGUGGCCCGGCUGCAUGGCUUGGCCACUGCCUACUCUGUUCUCGAGAGGAGGCCGGGAGACCUGGAGACAGUGGCAGAACAGCAGAACGCUUGCCCCCUGGGUCCCAGGGCACCCAUGCUGCCGCUGGUUUGCCCGUGGGGCUGGGUUGGGGCUGAACUGCCGGAUUCUAGAGAAGCCAGGAGUGUCCCUGGGGGGCACUUUCCGGGACUGCACCUGUGUCCCUGCUCCUUCCAGGAGGGUCCUAUAUAUUUUUUUUUUUAAUAGAUGAAAGUUGGACCUUUUUUAUUCCAUAAAGGGUUGGGUCUUUUUAUCCCUUUCUUAUGAAAGGGUUGGAAAAGUUAUUUUUUUGGUUUGGGUUUUUUUGGCUGCGUUGGGUCCUUGUUGCUGCACGUG